GACGAACGCUGGCGGCGUGCUUAACACAUGCCAGUCGAACGGUGAAGCCCUUCGGGGUGGAUCAGUGGCGAACGGGUGAGUAACACGUGAGCAACCUGCCCCUGGCUCUGGGACAACCACUGGAAACGGUGGCUAAUACCGGAUACGACCCGCCUCGGCAUCGAGUGUGGGUGGAAAGUUUUUCGGCUGGGGAUGGGCUCGCGGCCUAUCAGCUUGUUGGUGAGGUGAAGGCUCACCAAGGCGACGACGGGUAGCCGGCCUGAGAGGGCGACCGGCCACACUGGGACUGAGACACGGCCCAGACUCCUACGGGAGGCAGCAGUGGGGAAUAUUGCACAAUGGGCGAAAGCCUGAUGCAGCGACGCCGCGUGAGGGAUGACGGCCUUCGGGUUGUAAACCUCUUUCAGCUCCGAAGAAGCGAAAGUGACGGUAGGAGCAGAAGAAGCACCGGCUAACUACGUG
rnacentral:rRNA from 1 species